rnacentral:rRNA from 1 species
CUACGUGCCAGCAGCCGCGGUAAUACGUAGGUGGCAAGCGUUGUCCGGAAUUAUUGGGCGUAAAGCGCGCGCAGGCGGAUCAGUUAGUCUGUCUUAAAAGUUCGGGGCUUAACCCCGUGAUGGGAUGGAAACUGCUGAUCUAGAGUAUCGGAGAGGAAAGUGGAAUUCCUAGUGUAGCGGUGAAAUGCGUAGAUAUUAGGAAGAACACCAGUGGCGAAGGCGACUUUCUGGACGAAAACUGACGCUGAGGCGCGAAAGCCAGGGGAGCGAACGGGAUUAGAUACCCCGGUAGUCCUGGCCGUAAACGAUGGGUACUAGGUGUAGGAGGUAUCGACCCCUUCUGUGCCGGAGUUAACGCAAUAAGUACCCCGCCUGGGGAGUACGACCGCAAGGUUGAAACUCAAAGGAAUUGACGGGGGCCCGCACAAGCGGUGGAGUAUGUGGUUUAAUUCGACGCAACGCGAAGAACCUUACCAGGUC